GACUCUGGAGAGCGCUGGCACCGACCAGCCACCGAAGGGGCAGGAGCCGCGCAAGGCGCUCCAAUCUCUCAGGUAUCAGGACAGAGGGG
rnacentral:ncRNA from 1 species